rnacentral:lncRNA from 1 species
GGCCAUUGGUGUACAAUAUAAAUAAGCCCGCUCUCCUACUAUUCUCAUUUUUUCAACCACUAGUUGCUUCCAAUGCCCUAGCUUCCAAUCCGUCAAAGGUGUCCUUGCUACCGUGCACUCCACUCUCUUCUCCAGCUCUAACAAGAAGUUUCUCGUCAUCCCCACCUUGUUUUGAUUGGUCCUCUCAUUCUUCCUUCUAAUUUUUCAUUAUUUUUCUCCUUUUUUGUUUGAUUUGUCCUUUCCAUUCUUCUUUUUUUUGAAAAUAUCUUUUAGUGAUAAGGGUCAGGGUGAAAGUCAUCGAGGCGGCCAGAGUUCUUGAGUGCCUCCUCCUCCGUCCAAGUUUGAGGAGAGUCCUCAGACCACUACCGAGGUCACUUCCUCAUCCAAGUGCCAAGGUCCCGAAUUGUGUAGGUUGGAGAGUCCUGUACGGCGAUUUGGAGACUUCUCUAGUCCUAAGAGUGAAGAAUCAUCCAUCACUGAGGCCGACCUUCAAAGGUCUCGAUCUCAAUACUCCAUUCCUUCUGCUUUCUAGCUCAAAGUCCUGAGCUGAAAAGAUUGAGUCUCCAAUACUUCGAAGGGUCAAGUCAUCUUGGAUGAGGGGACUUUUUGAGCUGGUCUUCGAUUACCUUUUCAUCCCUUCAUCUCUAAUAUUCUGAACUUCUUCUUCGAAAUUAUUCUGACCAAGAUCACUCCAAACUCUAUUCAAAUGAUCAUUAUCUUCAUCAUUCUGUGCGAUUGACUCGACAUCCAGCUGAAGACUUCUCUCUUCAGGGCAUUGUUCACCCUAAAGAGGCACCCC